GGGGGCAUAGCUCAGUUGGUAGAGCGCCUGCUUUGCAAGCAGGAUGUCAGGAGUUCGAGUCUCCUUGCCUCCACCA
rnacentral:tRNA from 2 species